CCCUUAGAUGUCCUGGGCCGCACGCGCGUUACACUGAUGCAUUCAACGAGCUUAUAACCUUGGCCGAGAGGCCUGGGCAAUCUUGUUAACGUGCAUCGUGAUAGGGAUAGAUUAUUGAAAUUAUUAAUCUUGAACGAGGAAUUCCUAGUAAACGCAGAUCAUCAAUCUGCAUUGAUUACGUCCCUGCCCUUUGUACACACCGCCCGUCGCACCUACCGAUUGAAUGGUCCGGUGAAGCCUCCGGAUUGCACAGGCCCCGUGUCUGGCGCGAGAAGUUGGCUAAACCUUACCAUUUAGAGGAAGGUGAAGUCGUAACA
rnacentral:rRNA from 1 species